AUUUUUGCGCCUGCUGCCAGGGGACACCUCUACCUGGUCUGGCUCCAUAGGCCCCUGGGGCUUAUGCUCAUGUGUAGAAGGUUCUGGAACAGUUACCAGCCCCACAGCACAGCCAGAGGCAGCUGACCCAGGAGCUCCUUCUUUAAGGCCUACUAGCUAAUCAUCGUAACUGCGGCCUGAGGGGCAGGCUUCUAAUUAAACACCCAUCUAGGAGCUGAUAAUAAUCCUUUCCAGGAGCCUCAGAGGGCAAUCUUGGUGCUCUCCCUCUGCAUUACUCCAGAGCUCUAGUAUCUCCUGAUGCCCUGAUUUUUACAUCUGGCACCCCAGCUUUUGCAGCUGCCACCGAAGAAACACUUCUUAAAAGCCUGGAUCAGGUGGCUGGUUGGGGGGGGGGGGCGCCUUGCAUUCCGGGCUCCUAUAGGACUGUAGCAAUUGGAGAGAUGGUUCUUGGCAAACUACCACCCCCAAGACACUGCACAGAGAGCAUAUUGAAUCAUUCUGUGAAGAGGGCCUCUUGGUUUGCCUUGGAACUUCAGCCUGAAGGGCAAUCUUCAGGUUUGGCACACAUUUAUUAGACAGCAGAGUUGCUUCCAUGGGACCAACGACCUUCCUUUGAGCAUACGCUCAUCAGAGGACUGUUUGGAUGAGGCCAAAAACAGCAGUUGGUAUUCAACAUACACACUUGGUCAGAGGCAUCCGUCGAUAUACGAAUGACCUAAAUUGCCUUGGGUUACACCUAUUCAUUCAUGGACACAAAAUUCGAAACAGACAUCAGCAAUACAAGGAUGGAUAAAAAUGAGUGCCUGCCAUCAGGGAGACUAUAUUCUAUCAGAGGAGACAGAAUAGCAACAAAUUGGACUGUGACAAAUGCAAACCCAUCAGCAUGAACAAAGUGCAAUCAAGGCACAGAAUAGAAGCAGUUAAUUUUGCCUAGAAAAGAAGAAAAAAGUCCUCAGAAAAAAUUACAUAGCCUUUACCUCGAUGCGGGCCUGGGAGAUCAAGGCAGUGUCUGCAGCCAGGUGCAUGCUGUCUAGUGACCUGGCUAGCCUGGCCGGGAGUUGGCAGGCUCCAGCACAUUGAGCUGCAGAAAGCAGGAGAGCAUCCAUGGCAUCAUGCCCAAGAGAAGAGCCAGAGAUGGAAGCCAGAGGAGCCUGUCUAAAGUGGGUUGUCAGAACAAAGGAGGCUGGUGGUGACUAUCGGGAGUCAAGAGAGAGCCAAGGUGAGGAUCCAAAAGGCCAGCAAGCCAGAGAAGGGGUUCCUGGGCUUCAAAGGAGUCCAUGGCAUAAGAAAGUUGAGACACUGAUCCAGAAGAGCCAUGAACCUGCUGAAGUGUACAUUCAGGGUGGAGGAAGCUUACUUCCACUCAGUCACGUUUAAAGGGCUGCAGGAGGCAGAAAUCAUCCAGCGUGCCAGGUGCACAAGUCAGCUGAUCAUGGCAACCACUGACGAAGGGCUGCGAUGGGCACUGCAGGGAGACAUCGUGGAGAGGAGGCUCUGGCUCAGACCUGAGUGUCAGGCAUAGCUGCCAGGAGGAACCGAGACGAGCAGUGCGGACAGGAACUGGGUAGGGCAAAUGGACACGAGCACAUGGUUCUCCAUGCAGAAAGCAGAGCCUGAGUAAAGGGUGGGGGUGAGAGGGCUGGCAUAUCUGAGAACAGAUGUUUCUGUGCCCAAAGGUAGACUUUGGAGUAGAGAGAGGUGAGGAAGAAGCAGAACGUGGAUCUUCUUUAUUUGCACAUGUUUCAUCAAGCCCCACCAGAAUGUAAUCUGCUUGGGAGUCUAUUUUAUUCACCCUGUAUCUCCAGUGUCUAGAAUCGUAGCAAAUGUACAGGUAGGAGUCAGAUCACAGAGAGCCGCAGAGAUCAUGUAAAGUUUUUAGAUUUUAUCUAAGAGGUAAAAACAUCUGUUUCUGGAAUGACUGAUCAAGAAAAGAAGAUAGGUGUGCUGAAUUAAAAAAAACUCCCGAGGCACCCGAGUGGCUCAGAUGGUUAAGUGUCCAAUUCUUGAUACACACUCAGGUCAUGAUCUUGUGGUCAUAAGAUCAAGCCUUGCAUCA